UAAAGAUUUAUCAAAAACGGAACCGCCGACGUUAUCGAUAUGGUGCCCGCAUUGAAGUACGGUCACUAGUUAUCGAUAGUGCGUCAUCGAUAAGUUCUGUGACAACCCUGAAGCCGAAAACAAGCAGCCACGCUAGAGAAGAAAAUCUGGUUGAAAAUUGACAAAAAUUGUAAUUGAAUAAGCGCAAAAGCCAAAAGAGAACUUCGUAAGUGGUCCUACGAAUUGCGCUGUGCGUCCCCACCACAUUUUGAUUUCUUCAAACGUGCCAGACAACGAGCAGGGGACUUUUUUCACGGAGCACCCCGGAUUGCAGCGAAGUAAUUUUCGAAUAUGGCCGAGGACUUUGAUGUGGAGGCGAUGCUCGAGGCACCGUACAUGAAAAACACACCCACAGGCGUACGUGCAUUUUGUGUUUGUAUGUAAGUCGUCUUCGUCUCGGGCACACACACACACACACACACAUGUGCAGUCGAUGCAUACUAAGUGGUCUUAAAUCGAUUUUUAGCCUAAUUUUGCUGUUUAAUAAAAAAUCGGCAGCCGGAACGCCAAUCUGCGUGCUGAUUUUCGUAAUAAUUUUUUUUUCACACUCGACUGCGUUCAUACAGAAAAGUGUUUCGCCAACGGAAAAUUUGUCUGUGUGUGGGUUUGUGUUGUUUAUUUUCCUAAGCGGCAUUUGAUACAGUCCUGUACUGCAGUAGGUGUACAGUGGGGUGCAAAAUAUUUGGCAGGGCUGCAAUUGCAACUAAAAACGUUUAACAAGUAUCAGGGAAACUUAAAGGAUUGAAUUACCAACAAGGCAAUUACUAACUUAAUCAUUAAAAAACAACGUAUGUUUGUGAUAUUAUACAUAUCUUACAAAACUUGGACUUUAAUCUUUGUUAAUGACUGAAACGGAUUUUGUAGCAAUUGGUAUUCCUCUUAUCUUAUCUGGGCGACCCAUCUAAUAAUAUUUUAAUAGGUUUAAACUUAGUCAAAUGAAAUCAUACUGGUGAAAUCCCAAUAUAUUAUAAAGUGAUUUGUAGGUUAGCAAAACACAUUUUUCCGUAGCAUUUACAAAUUCAAUUUUUGGUGUGUUGUGGAAUAAAUCUAGUAAAAUUAUCAUUAAUUAACCCCAGCAUUAUUGUCCGACAGCUCGCCAAGGUUUUCGAAAUAGUAGUCUAUGAAGUCCAGCUGAAGUUGGAAAUGAAUUGAAUUCUCUUUCGCCCCAAACCAACAACUCAUGAGUUCAACGCUCUUAUUUCUUCCUAUCUGCUGUCUCACUAAGAACAACCGACAACUACCCACACACAAUCACCAUUAAAAAAUAAAAAAAAAAACCAAACAAAAAUGCUAGAAUAAUUCUUAAGGGUGAAAUGUCUUUGCAGAGAAUCGAAUAAGCUCAAUAUUGUUGCUAGAGAUUGUUUUGGUCAUUCUAAACACAAAAAGCUGGAGACCAUUUGGUAAGUUUUGAAUGUGCCAGAAGCUGCGAAAAAAACCAAUUACAAAAUUACAAAACAAUAAAAAAAAAACCAAAACAUAUCUAGGCAUUUUGUAUACAAUAUGAUUUGUUUAUGUUUGCGUUUUUUUUGAACACAAUCCAAUUGAAAUCGUUAACUUACUGCUCUAUGUAAACCAAUGAAACUGAACGUGCACUAAAUUUCAGAUAUACUCCUCCUAACUUGUCUGGGGCAGCAGGCAGCACUACUACUACUCUCACUCACAGUCAGACAAGAAAGAAAGUAUCGCUCAAAUUACAAAUUACAGAUUUACCAUAAACAGAAAUCGAAAUAUAAGCAUAAUUGUUGACCAACACAUAAGCCCAAAACGCAAAGCCAAAGCCAAAAAACCAAACCAAACCUAUUUGAACAAACAAAAAACGUAAUAAGCAAUUCUUAAACUAUAGCACUACAAUCUUACUUAUAUUAUGUCUAUGUCCUAUAUAUAUAUAGACGACGUCUUUUUGAGAACCAAUCAACCAGUCCACUCCACUAGCCAGCGCUAAACAUUCCCCCAAAACUGAUCUGAUUGAGAAUGAGAAUGAGCAUGGGAAAUUUGCCCAUGUGGAGACAACAUUUCUCGCCGUCGUGAACCAUCUGUGUGUGUGCCAUAUACAAAUUAAAUAUAUUACAUAUAUUUACCAAAACUACGUAUAAGAUAUCUCUCUAUAUCUAUAUCCUUAUUACUACCUUUGCUAAAAAUUGGCAAUGAUCCCCAAAUGAUCAUUGUUGACUUAAGCAUUUCUACUUUAUAUACUUGCAGAUGCCAAAAAUUUAACUAAUUUACUUUGAUUUGCUUUCUCUUAUUCAAAAAAAAAAAUAUUUACGAAACUGAAAAAAUAAUAUAUCAUAACAAACUCAAUGAUAUAAUCGAAAAUCAACCAACAUCUCAACAACGACAACAACGUAACGAACGAUCAACACCCGUUAUGUGUUCCCACCCACCAAAAACUGAAACCAAUCGACAACAAAAAAAAUAAUCCACUUAUCUGUAUCUACAUUAUUGCUUGCGCCCAACCAACCCAUCCUCCCUGUCCGAUCCCACACCCAAUCCACCAAACAAACAAAACAACCUAUCUGUGUAGAAUGUCAGUGCGGGCAGCGGUGGACGUGGUGGACGCAAGCGCAGCGGCAGCAGUCCAGGCGGCGGCGGUGGACACGAUGACGACUACGCCGAGAAUGGUCCGCGGAACGGAAGCGGCGGCGGAA